AUUGAACGCUGGCGGCAUGCCUUACACAUGCAAGUCGAGCGGCAGCGCGGGGGCAACCCUGGCGGCGAGCGGCGAACGGGUGAGCAAUGCAUCGGAACGUGUCCUCUUGUGGGGGAUAACCAGUCGAAAGACUGGCUAAUACCGCAUGAGAUCGAGAGAUGAAAGCGGGGGACCGUAAGGCCUCGCGCGAGAGGAGCGGCCGACGCCGGAUUAGCCAGUUGGCGGGGUAACGGCCGACCAAGGCGACGAUCCGUAGCUGGUCUGAGAGGACGACCAGCCGCACUGGGACUGAGACACGGCCCAGACUCCUACGGGAGGCAGCAGUGGGGAAUUUUGGACAAUGGGGGCAACCCUGAUCCAGCCAUGCCGCGUGUGUGAAGAAGGCCUUCGGGUUGUAAAGCACUUUCGGCCGGAACGAAAUCGCGCGAUCUAAUAAGUCGCGUGGAUGACGGUACCGGAAGAAGAAGCACCGGCUAACUACGUGCCAGCCGCCGCGGUAAAAC
rnacentral:rRNA from 1 species